CCUUCGAUAGCUCAGUUGGUAGAGCGGUGGACUGUAGAGUUCAAGAGAAUUAACGUAGCCAUCCAUAGGUCGCUGGUUCAAAUCCGGCUCGAAGGA
rnacentral:tRNA from 1 species